GACGAACGCUGGCGGCGUGCUUAACACAUGCAAGUCGAACGGAAAGGCCCUGCUUUUGUGGGGUGCUCGAGUGGCGAACGGGUGAGUAACACGUGAGUAACCUGCCCUUGACUUUGGGAUAACUUCAGGAAACUGGGGCUAAUACCGGAUAGGAGCUCCUGCUGCAUGGUGGGGGUUGGAAAGUUUCGGCGGUUGGGGAUGGACUCGCGGCUUAUCAGCUUGUUGGUGGGGUAGUGGCUUACCAAGGCGUUGACGGGUAGCCGGCCUGAGAGGGUGACCGGCCACAUGGGGAGUGAGGAACGGCCCAGACUCGUACGGGAGGCAGCAGGGGGGAGUGAUGCACGAUGGGCGGAAGCGUGAUGCAGCAACGCAGCGUGCGGGAUGAAGGCCUUCGGGUUGUAAACCGCUUUCGCGUGUGACGAAGCGUGAGUGACGGUACUGGGUAAAGAAGCACCGGCUAACUACGU
rnacentral:rRNA from 1 species